UUGCUGUGAUGACCAAUUUAGAACACCAUUGGAUUAACCAUGAAAAAAAGUAAUUUUUAAGGAUU
rfam:Mustela putorius furo unplaced genomic scaffold scaffold00192, whole genome shotgun sequence.